ensembl:snRNA U6 U6 spliceosomal RNA
GUGCCUGAUUUGGCAGCACGUAUACUAACAUUGGAACAAUACAGAGAAGAUGAGCACGGCCCCUGUGCAAAACUGAUGCACAAAUCCAUGACACGUUCCAUGUCUUU